UACAAGUGCAGUAUGGGAUGAAAAUGAGUGCCAGAAACAGACAAGAGAAGGUGAGGUUCCACCAUGAAUACAGCCAUACAGACAGAGAACAAUGUACAGGGUGGAACCGUCCACUUGUUCACUGGAUAUACUUUCCUGAAGCUCUGAGAAGAGGUCUGAGCUUUAAGAGAGAAAUGUAUGAACUCCAUGUGCACAGAUGGUCCUGAAGACACAUGUGGGAUCUGACCCUGACCACAGGUGCAGUGAGACAGCGGCUCCACCUCUUCAAGCCUCAAGGCCUCAACUGCAAAUAGCAACACACAGGGCUGUGCAGAGGACUGAGUGAGAUCAUGCCUGCAAAGUGCCCAGGACUGUGCCUGACUCACAGCAAGGGCUCCGUGUUGCCUAUAAUGAACAUUAUCUCUAGAGACUACAGACUCUGAUGGGCCGGGAACAUGGGUGAGCCUGAGACUAGCCUGACGCAUGGAGCUGGGACCACCAGAGAAGGCCCAAGGAGUCACAGGAAGGAAAGUCCACUGAUGCCUACUGGUUCCUAAUCUGUGUUCACUGUGUCAUAGCUGCUCUCAGAGCCUUAUCCAACCUUUACCAACGACCUCAUGACAUGGCCACUAUUGGGUCUGGUUUGCAGGUCUUCUGAAUUUCAGGUGCUGAGGGGGUGCUACUGGAAAUUGAGAAGUUAUUCUGCUGGGACGUGGCCAUGCCCGGGAACCAGUAACUCCAUAACACGACCUGAGCCUGCAGCCUGCCAAGUCCCUGGUGGGAGGAGGAGAGCCGUUGGGGAUUCCCCAAGAAGCCACCUGAGCAGGAAUAGGGCAGAAACAUCAGAGAGUGGAGAAACAGCCUCUCUCUUGGGAGGAAUGUGAUCAAGAGGAAUGAAGAGAAGAAUGAGUUCAUGAAUCCCAAGACAGACAGGCGAGUACACCUAUCUAGAGCCAAAGAGACAGAGAGAAAGAGAGAUUGCCCACAAUGUGAGCAGACCUGAGCCAGUGCAGACGUAUCCCUGGUUAAGGUAUAGACAAAUGCUUAU